rnacentral:ncRNA from 1 species
GCAAAGACAAAGAUCGGGAAGAGUAGUUGCCGGCGAAGCAAAAGAGAGGAACCGUCACCGGCUGAAAGCGGUUCUGGCGGAGUGGCAGUGAAAGUGCGCCCGGGAGUUGUGGUGCCGAAAGCAAGUAGGUGCCAACGGUGGAGGCCGUUACAGCUCGGCUUGAGGGGUUUUUUCAUAACCUGAAGCAGAGUGGAACCACGAAAUCAAUCCUUUCGUCUCUGAU